CGUUCUCGGGGCGGGGUGCAAUUCCCCACCGGCGGUAAAAUAUGCGGUCUACAUCGCCAUAUUCAGCCCGCGAGCGCUUUAUUAGCCAUAACAUAGGCCAAUAAAGGUCAGCAGAUCUGGUGUAAACCCAGAGCCGACGGUAAUAGUCCGGAUGAUAGAGAAC
rnacentral:ncRNA from 1 species